AUGUGGGCCGGGGAGAAACGCCGGGAUCUGGAAGGGGAGGAGGAAUCGAGGCCCAGUUCGGGCAACUCAGAGGACGGAGGACUCUCUUCGAGAGUCACAACUUCGAUACGCGCCCUUUCCAGCCUCGACCUGAUCCACCUGCUGGCAGUCCCAGACUUAAAAACCUACACGAACCUGUGUGCUCCUUUUGAGGUCCAGGAAUUUAAAAUGGAAGCUGUCCUGACGCCACGUGCUCUGAAGCCGGCGUCUCCCCACCACCCCUCCCUGCACAUCGCGGGGCCCCUCUUUCUCCUUUCACUCGGCCUCCGCAGCCUGGAAAGGCUGAGGGGCCCGAGUGGUGUCAACCGGAGGAGGCGUCCACGGCAGAGGACCCCACCUGUGCUGCGCCGGGGGACUGGCUCCCUUGGAAUCCCGAGAGCGGGACGCGUGGGUUUCCGCGAAGUGACUUUCUCACGAACUUCAACGAAAGAAAAGUGCUCCGUCUCGAAACUGAGCCGCGACGGCCACCGAGUGUCAACAGCCUUCUCUGACGGAUCUGCUGGGACUUGUUUCUCCGUGGGGCUUGAUCAGCUCGAGUGCGUUCCCCGCACAGUGGGAAAUGCUGGCGCGCCUUGGGCUGCGGCGGUGGGCUGAGCCCGGCGCUGGGCCGGACCUGCACCCCGCCCCCCACCACGCUCCGCAGCCCCAGGGCCGCCUCCGGGCGCUCACUCGUGGCCUACAGCCUCCUCUUCAAUGGAUUCAAUACGGCGUUCUCCCGGAACUCAGCAUCGAGCAUCCAGCUCCACUCGAAGUGGCGCCCAGCAGGCGGAGAUCGCCCCGGAUGAAAGGAAGGAUCCUGACCAUCCCUGAAAUUAGUUUAGUGUACGCGCGGAAAUAAGAAAGGGUUUAAAAGUUUCGUGAGUUGUUUGUGUUUCAUAACGUAUUUUGCUAAAAAUCAAGAAUUUAACAGGGACAGUUUUUCUUCUGGAAUGGACAUAACGCUAGAAGGAGGAUGCUUGCACUUUCCUAACCCACGUUCAGGGAAAUUGCUUUGUCUUUUUCCC
rnacentral:lncRNA from 1 species